rnacentral:lncRNA from 1 species
GGUGACUGACGUGUUUCCCAGACAAUGGCUGGAAAGUCUGCUGUGGAGACAAUGCCAUUUGGCGAUCUUGUUUGGUUGUGAGAACGGGAGCACCGUGCUUAAGAUACACAUGGUUUCACUGGAUUGACUGUUAGAGAGGCUUUGAUCAGAUAUGGAUGAAUCCACCGACGGAGGUUGCACCCGCCAACGUUUCUGCAACUGAAUGGACGCUGAUGUAGGUGUAUGAUGCUUGAGAUACACACGUCUCCACGCGAUCUCACGUUAUGAAAAGGGUGCUUGGUUCCGGUGUAAUGUGACCACCCGAAGGGAGGUGAGCUCGACUAUGUGUCGCGAUCUAACGCGUCCCAAACAUGGUCAAUGAGAAGGUCCUUGCAUCCAACAGCAUGAACUCAGACACAUAUUGCUACUGCUGGGAUCGAUUCUGUUGGAUCACAUAAUACCUCUACUCUUCCUUUCUCUUAGCAUAGAUCCCAAGACAAUUUCC